AGAGUUUGAUCCUGGCUCAGGACGAACGCUGGCGGCGUGCUUAACACAUGCAAGUCGAGCGGGGUUUAUCGGAUUAGCUUGCUAAACUGAUAAACCUAGCGGCGGACGGGUGAGUAACGCGUGAGCAAUCUGCCUCAUACAGGGGGAUAACAGGUGGAAACACCUGCUAAUACCGCAUAAGACUCCACUACCGCAUGGUAGAGAAGUCAAAGGGAUUACCGGUAUGAGAUGAGCUCGCGUCCCAUUAGCUAGUUGGUAGGGUAAAGGCCUACCAAGGCGACGAUGGGUAGCCGACCUGAGAGGGUGAUCGGCCACACUGGGACUGAGACACGGCCCAGACUCCUACGGGAGGCAGCAGUGGGGAAUAUUGCACAAUGGAGGGAACUCUGAUGCAGCAACGCCGCGUGAGUGAAGAAGGUUUUCGGAUCGUAAAACUCUGUCAUUGGGGAAGAAUAAAUGACGGUACCCAAUGAGGAAGCCCCGGCUAACUACGUGCCAGCAGCCGCGGUAAUACGUAGGGGGCGAGCGUUGUCCGGAAUUACUGGGCGUAAAGGGUACGUAGGCGGCUAUAUAAGUCAGGUGUGAAAUACCAGUGCUUAACACUGGAAUUGCAUUUGAAACUGUGUAGCUUGAGUGCAGGAGAGGAAAGUGGAAUUCCUAGUGUAGCGGUGAAAUGCGUAGAGAUUAGGAGGAACACCAGUGGCGAAGGCGACUUUCUGGACUGUAACUGACGCUGAGGUACGAAAGCGUGGGUAGCGAACAGGAUUAGAUACCCUGGUAGUCCACGCCGUAAACGAUGGAUACUAGGUGUAGGGGGUAUCGACCCCCCCUGUGCCGGAGUUAACGCAAUAAGUAUCCCGCCUGGGGAGUACGGUCGCAAGACUGAAACUCAAAUGAAUUGACGG
rnacentral:rRNA from 1 species